GGCUUCUCAAACGUAUCCGUUCUCGCUCAUUUCGUUUUCUCCCAGGCCCCAGCCGUUAUUUGAUUCUUCUCCCAAUUUCCCUCUCUCUGAACCAGAAAAACCAAACCCAAAUCUCACUCCUUAACCCUAAUCCUAACCCUUGCAAACCCUGUAAUCGAAGAAAAGGAACCACCUUUUGUUGUUGCUGCUAUGUGCCAUUGACAGAACCACUGAAAUCACCACCGCCAUCAUCAUUGAAAAUCCACAAUUCCAGACCACCACAACCAUUCUCAUUCGCCGCCGCGAGUGGUGGUCAAAACCCCUCAAUUGUGCAGAAUCGACGACGUUAACCUCUUCAACCGCGCCAUCUCCUUCUCCAAUCCUUCCUCUUCCUCUUCCAACCCAAACACUGAUCGCUAAUGCUGACCGCACCGCUGCUUCCGCCUUGGAUUUGUGGCUCCGCCGCUGCGAUGCUCCUUGGCUGGGUUCGUCAUGGUGUUAGUUUUGCUCUGGAGAAACCGAAUUUGAGGGACUUUGAUUCAUUUGAACUGACGCUCAGGCUCACAUUUUUGGGGUUUGAAUUGAAUUGAUGUUUUAUGCAUUUGUGUUUUUUUACUGUUAUGGAGUCGCCAAUCCCCAUUAUUUUGUUGUGAGGCUAAGUUCUUAUCUAUCAUUAUCUUCUGCUCCGUGAGGGAAUUUCAGGGUUAUGGAUUAUCUUGAAGAUGAUUGGUAGACAUCUUGCUUUUGAAAGAUUAGGAUGAAUUAAAAGAUAGUCAGGAGUUUGAGAUUCAAAUGUUGGAAAUGGGAAUUCAGAUGUUGGACCUGAUCUGUUCUGAAGAUACUAUGAAGCUGUGUAAAUCUUUGUUCCUUGAAAGAUUCUACAAUUAGAAAAAAGACUAAAAGACCAAUUUGAGGUCAGAAGCAUGUUGGCGCUUGGAUACAGACCCAAGGUUGGUUACUUAAGCAUAGUUUUUAUCUCCAGUUAUGUUAAGUUCUUAUGAAAUUAAUUUCCUUCAAAAGGUUAUUAUUUUACACAUUGAAUGUUAUAUGUCUCCGGCAAUGGAAAUAAAUAAUCAGACGAGGUGGAUGAUACACCAGAAAUUCAAUAUCAUGAAGAAGAGAAGCACCUACUUGAGAAAGACAGGUUACAGCUAGGAACUGUUGUGGCUCUAAAAUUUAUUAAACUCCCCUAAAGUAAUUUUGGUACUUCACUUUCUGUUAAAUUUUGGGUGUCAUUUUGUGCAGUUAUCUUUCUAAGUUUCAUGUAUUAAAUAAUGUGUUCAAAAAAGUGUAUAUCUCUCUGGGCAUAAUUGCAUUUAGUUUUUCUUGAUUGUCAGCAAUUCUACAGUGUGGGACGUACAAGUAGGCAAACCAUGUUCAAGUCCCAAGCCCCCUUCUUUUGUCUUCUAUAAUUUUGCCUUGAAUGUUGGUAGUUAUUGAUACUUAAUUUGAUGAAAGACUUGAUGGCAUGAAAGGUGAAAUCACGGAAAUAGUGCAAUCUGUCUAUGACUAACCGGUGAACCCCCAAAGGGAAAGAUAAGAUUGUGUUAUCCACAUCUGAUGUGGUUCCAGUUCAGAGACAAGGUGAAUCGACUUCAGCUACUGAGAUUGUUAACACAAUGCAUGAAAUGAGCCUGAAGAGCCACCGGGUUUCGCUCUCUUGCAUAGUCAUCUGAAUAAUAACAAUAGGAGAAACAAGAUAAAGGAAAGGCGUGGGUUCAAAGGCAGGAAAUCAAGAAUCCCCUGCAUAACAGUUGUAAGAUUCCCAACCAUCACAGGAAGCAGUGGGGAUGAUAAUAGCAAUUGCCUCCUGGAUUUUCAAGAGAUGUGGAGCACAUUGCACCAUCUGAUUGUAGUGUUGAAGAUCCUGAUGUACCGCCUGGAUUUGGUUGAUAAAUUGGAUGAUGUUUCAAUUUUUACUCUCUUCAAUCAAGAAUUGAUGUGCAAAUUGGAACCAA